rnacentral:rRNA from 1 species
UGACAGUACUCCUACGGGGAGGCAGCAGUGGGGGAAUAUUGCACAAUGGGCGCAAGCCUGAUGCAGCCAUGCCGCGUGUGUGAAGAAGGACCUUCGGGUUGUAAAGCACUUUCAGUCGUGAGGAAGGUAGUGUAGUUAAUAGCUGCAUUAUUUGACGUUAGCGACAGAAGAAGCACCGACUAACUCCGUGCCAGCAGCCGCGGUAAUACGGAGGGUGCGAGCGUUAAUCGGAAUUACUGGGCGUAAAGCGCAUGCAGGUGGUUUGUUAAGUCAGAUGUGAAAGCCCGGGGCGUCAACCUCGGAAUAGCAUUUGAAACUGGCAGACUAGAGUACUGUAGAGGGGGGUAGGAAUUUCAGGUGUAGCGGUGAAAUGCGUAGAGAUCUGAAGGAAUACCGGUGGCGAAGGCGGCCCCCUGGACAGAUACUGACACUCAGAUGCGAAAGCGUGGGGAGCAAACAGGAUUAGAUACCCUGGUAG